rnacentral:misc_RNA from 1 species
CACACAUACACACACACGCGCCAGUCUUCUCUCUCGCUGCUACGAAUACACGGCCUUGGACUCGCAUUGUGGCUCCUCGCUGUCGCUCGUUAUCGACUCUCCCCCCACUCCCACACGCGGCUUCGCACACCUUCCUCUCCACGUCUCAACGACCUCUUUUGGCCACUUUCUCUUCUGCGCGCGCUACCAUCUGCAACGCAUGUGAUAUGCCCCCUCCUGCUGUUCGCAUCUCGGCAUCGUCACUGUCCAUCGCACUUUCUUCUGCUUUGGGUCCGUUCUUGCCAGUCUGAGAAGGCCUUUUUUCUCGCCUUGCGCUCCUAUUCUGGCAUCGACUGCCAUGAAACCGCUGCACUUGUCGUCAUCUUCAUGACGCGCUCGCCCUCUCUGGAUAAUCGCACACAUGCAGCCUCUCUUUUCUUCAGUACGCAUCCAAUAGACGUGAAUCAAGGAAGGUCGAAGGAUGGCGUAUCUGGACUCUCUUCUUCCUCCCUCCUUCUCCUUGUUUCCCGCGCCUCGUACGUACGAUCACGUCCCCGCUGCACUGAAAAAG